UUUGUGCUUGUAGGUGUGGAGGAAUGUGGAGAGUGGGUUGUUCACAUGUGGGAGGAGCACGGCAAGGUGAGUGUCGGUCUGAGAGCGGWAGCAGAGCCUAGCAUAGGGCUGUUGUCUCAUUGGUGCUGUCCCCAUUGCCCACUGCUGUUCUGGUUUUACAGGUGCAUGACAGGCCUCGGUGUGGUGGCUGGUUGCAUGGCAGUUGGGAUGGGCGAGCAGAACAGGUUUUGCAGGAAGUUGUGGAGAGGCAAAGUUGAGCAUUGA
rnacentral:lncRNA from 1 species